AUGGCGCCCCCUUCCCUCUCCUCCUCCCACCUCCUCAUCACCGCGUCCCUCCCCAAGCCCUCCUCCAUCCGGCCGCCGCGCCUCCCGCUCUCCUCCAGGCCCGUCCCGGCGCUGCUCCUCGCGCUCGCCGCCUCGCCGGCCUUUCCCGCCCUCGCCGUCGACGCGCCCGCGCCGCUCGAUGCGGCGGCCCCGCAGCUGCAGCUCCAGGCCGAGGCGCCGACGCCCGCGGCCAACCCCUUCGCCGACACCCUGCUCACCGCGCCCAAGCCUGGGUCGGCGGCCGCCGACAUCCCCGACGGCGGCCAGUGGCGCUACAGCGAGUUCCUCGCGGCCGUCAAGAAGGGCAAGGUCGAGCGCGUGCGCUUCUCCAAGGACGGCGGCAUGCUGCAGCUCACGGCCGUCGACGGCCGCCGCGCCUCCGUCGUCGUGCCCAACGACCCCGACCUCAUCGACAUCCUCGCCACCAACGGCGUCGACAUCUCCGUCGCCGAGGGCGACGCCGCGGGGCCCGGGGGCUUCCUCGCCUUCGUCGGCAACCUGCUCUUCCCCUUCAUCGCCUUCGCGGGGCUCUUCUUCCUCUUCCGCCGCGCGCAGGGCGGGCCCGGCGGGGGCCCCGGCGGGAUGGGCGGGCCCAUGGACUUCGGCCGCUCCAAGAGCAAGUUCCAGGAGGUGCCCGAGACCGGGGUCACCUUCCAGGACGUCGCCGGCGCCGACCAGGCCAAGCUCGAGCUGCAGGAGGUCGUGGAUUUCCUCAAGAACCCCGACAAGUACACCGCGCUCGGGGCCAAGAUCCCCAAGGGCUGCCUGCUCGUCGGCCCGCCCGGGACCGGGAAGACGCUGCUCGCCCGGGCCGUCGCCGGGGAGGCCGGGGUGCCCUUCUUCUCCUGCGCCGCGUCUGAGUUCGUCGAGCUCUUCGUCGGCGUCGGCGCGUCCAGGGUGAGGGACCUCUUCGAGAAGGCCAAGGCCAAGGCGCCCUGCAUCGUCUUCAUCGAUGAGAUUGACGCCGUCGGGAGGCAGCGUGGUGCCGGAAUGGGUGGGGGGAACGAUGAGAGGGAGCAGACCAUUAACCAGCUGCUCACGGAGAUGGACGGCUUCUCCGGAAACAGCGGUGUCAUCGUGCUCGCCGCGACCAACAGGCCAGAUGUGCUCGACUCGGCGCUUCUGCGGCCAGGGCGGUUUGAUCGGCAGGUCACCGUCGACCGUCCGGAUGUCGCCGGCCGUGUCAGGAUCCUUGAGGUUCACUCCAGAGGAAAGGCAUUGGCGAAGGAUGUAGACUUUGAUAAGGUUGCCAGAAGGACACCUGGUUUCACCGGUGCUGAUCUUCAGAACUUGAUGAAUGAGGCUGCCAUCCUUGCUGCUCGUCGUGAUCUGAAGGAGAUAAGCAAGGACGAGAUCUCUGAUGCUCUGGAGAGGAUCAUUGCUGGGCCUGAGAAGAAGAAUGCAGUUGUUUCAGAACAGAAGAGGAAGCUUGUGGCUUACCAUGAGGCUGGACAUGCCCUCGUCGGUGCCCUGAUGCCUGAAUAUGACCCUGUUGCCAAGAUUUCCAUCAUUCCUCGAGGUCAAGCUGGUGGCCUCACGUUCUUUGCUCCAAGCGAAGAGAGGCUUGAGUCUGGACUGUACAGCAGGAGCUACCUAGAGAACCAAAUGGCUGUGGCACUUGGUGGCAGGGUUGCCGAGGAGGUGAUCUUUGGCCAAGACAAUGUGACAACUGGGGCAUCCAGUGACUUCAUGCAGGUCUCACGUGUCGCCAGACAAAUGGUUGAAAGAUUUGGGUUCAGUAAGAAGAUUGGGCAAGUCGCGAUCGGAUCAUCUGGUGGAAACCCUUUCUUGGGCCAGCAGAUGUCGAGCCAGAAGGACUACUCGAUGGCCACGGCGGACAUCGUAGACGCCGAGGUCAGGGAACUCGUGGAGACGGCCUACUCGCGGGCGACGCAGAUCAUCAACACCCACAUCGACAUCCUCCACAGGCUCGCCAACCUCCUGAUCGAGAAGGAGACCGUGGACGGGGAGGAGUUCAUGAGCCUCUUCAUCGACGGGCAGGCAGAGCUGUUCGUCGCAUAA
rnacentral:rRNA from 1 species